GGCCCCAUCGUCUAGUGGUUAGGACAUCGGCCUCUCACGCCGGUAACGUGGAUUCGACUUCCACUGGGGUCACCA
rnacentral:tRNA from 1 species